AUGGGGUACAAUCUCUGUCGAGUUGAAUGGGACUUUCUCCAUAAGAGGAAGGAUGUGGUUGCCAAAGCUUUAGAAAAUGUUCUUCUGCUGGAUCAGGAACUGGAGAAACAUGAGUCUAUAGAAGAGCUGAGCAAAUAUUGCUUAGACCAGAAGAUAUCUUUUCCUAAGACUGUGUUGUCUGAAGAAGGCAAGAAGAAUCCAAAGGAAUGCUAUAUUUUUGAAGACAAGGUUCAGAUGCCCCAAUUAUACUUCACUUCCCACUGGAGAAUGCCUCUUUCAGGGAGUACGAAAAACCUGACUCUCACAGAUAAAAAUCUUUUCUGCACCCCCACCAACAAAAGGGAAUACAAAUAUACACAUCACCUAUGUAUAUUUACUGAAGACUAUUUAACAGUGGGACGAUAAACAUUUUGAUGGCUACAUCAUAUUUCAGAAUAAGUGUGAGUUAAUUCUUCCUAAAGGACUUUAUCAUUGUUUAAAUCAGUUUUAGGAUAUCUUAGGAAUCAGAGCAAGAACACACCUCAAUAAGAUCUAUGUACUUUCUCUACUUUCCCCCCCUCAGCUCCUGGUAUGAGAAGGAAAUAAUAAAGUAGAACUUACAUUGCCUAGAAGCCCA
rnacentral:lncRNA from 1 species